UUUGAAGACAAGUCCAAAUUAGAGUUAGCAAAUGAGUGAAAUAAAACUACCUUGAUCACUGUGGUGGUGGCGGUGCCUGGUAGCUAGGUCCUAUGGUGUCGUUGCCCGGUGGAUGUAAGAAAUGAGCCAAAAUCUGCCUCAGUAGAUCCGACUGCUGGACUUGCUCUGCCUAUAUGGCUUUCAUCAUGCUACUCUGUACUCUAACUUUGCCCUCCAUGCUAUGCAGUCGGUCCCAAGUGUCGUUCACUCUUAUCUGUAUUCCAUCCACUCUUCCCACAUAUACACUCAGAUGCUCGUUCAUGGUUUCCAUCUCCCUCCUUGCUGAUCAGGCCUCCUGAUAUGCAAACUGUGCCAUGUUUUAAGUAGUAUUGAUAUCACGCCGGGCUAUCUGCAUGUCAGUCAUCAAAGCCCCUAGAGCUUGCUGGAUUCCCUCUAUAUCACAUCUAGUUCUUGUUAGAGUUAUAGACAUCUGACGCAGUACCUGUGUAUUAGCUCCCAUCUGUGGUGGUGGUGGUGGUGCAUCUCAACAUCAUCGGGUCCCUGGCCCUGUGCAGCUUGCUGCUGUCUUCUUUGCUCUCUCUCUCUUGUUCAUCCCCAUGUCUUAUCUGAGCUCGCUCCUGAGCCUCAAAUGUAGUACGCUUUAUUAAAGGGCUGGAUUUUUCUGGUACCUCUUCUAGUAAGAUUGUAACACCUACAGCUCGGCAUAUGUUGCUGAUGAGGCUGGGAAAGACCAAAGUGGUACGCCGAUCCCGUCAAGUGCCUAAUGUCUAGAUUUGAUUAUAGAUAAGGGUGGUGAGGUCUGUUUCGCAACCUCAAACCAGAUGAUAAAUGAACUGCUAUUUGAUUAGGAAGUGUGGUUCUGUGUGAUGUGGGCUCGAUGUUGUGGCACAUGAAGAGCUAUAGAACGGUUGUGGAUGGUGUGAGCUCUAUUUGAUGCCACUCAGCAGUCGCUAGGGGCCAU
rnacentral:lncRNA from 1 species